rnacentral:rRNA from 1 species
UACGUAGGGUGCAAGCGUUAAUCGGAAUUACUGGGCGUAAAGCGUGCGCAGGCGGCUUUGCAAGACAGAUGUGAAAUCCCCGGGCUUAACCUGGGAACUGCAUUUGUGACUGCAAGGCUAGAGUGCGGCAGAGGGGGAUGGAAUUCCGCGUGUAGCAGUGAAAUGCGUAGAUAUGCGGAGGAAUACCGAUGGCGAAGGCAAUCCCCUGGGCCUGCACUGACGCUCAUGCACGAAAGCGUGGGGAGCAAACAGG